rnacentral:rRNA from 1 species
UCCCUCCUCCAUGAAUGUGGCCACUUGCUGUCCCUUGCCUCUUCCCUUUCUACUUGUCUCAUGGACGACGAAGGAGAGAGCGACGGGGCACGAGCAUCCUCACCACAGCACAAAAGGGUACAUCCACCUUCUUAGUUGUGGUUAAGUGACGGCUUGCCGAAUUGGCGGCGGCGACGGUAGCCCUCGCUCCUCUCCCCCUUUCUCGGAAUCAUGGCCUCCUCUUUGCUCAAGCUCGUCGUACAUAUUGCACAAGGAGGCUCAGGGUGGUCGUAGCGGCCGCGAGGAGGUAUCCCAUGGAGUUCAUCAACCGGACGAGGGCAAGGGUGCCGAUUUUCCUCCCCUACUUCCAAUCCCGGUGUGUCCACCAUCGACCAAAUCUUCACCACGCCAGACUUUGGUUGAGCAAAAAAUACACAUGCCAUUAUCGUCAUGUCAAUCAAACUGUAAUUGAGGGACUGGCAGCAAAGGAGAUGUUCCACAAGCACUAACAAACUGUUGAGCUGACAAACGGACAAGUAAGUUUAUUUGGCAAUGCAAUGAUGUUAUGCUGUCUAGGGCAAUGAUGUUAUGCUGUCUAGGGCUAUAUUAGGAGGAUCUUAUGAGUGAUGCUUACUUCAAUUUUGAGUAGUUAAUUACACUUGCCAUGGGUGCUUUGAUUGCUCGACAGUUGUACUUAAAAAUUCACAUAUUCUGGUGGGC